rnacentral:misc_RNA from 1 species
CAGUACGAGUCUAGCGAGCAACGUGAUCGGCUGCGAAAAACGAAGUGUGUUACUACGAUGCGGGUGGUGCUGUUGUUCUAGUAGGCUGUGACGACGAGCGGGGGUGGUUGUGUGGUACAGAAGUCUUCGAUUGAGUCAAGUGGACGACACUAAUUGAGGAAGAGAAAGAGAAGAACAAAAAAUCAGAACGCCCUGUGCAUCAAGUGCAAUUAUCGUGUUGUUUGAAGUCUCGCAGCAAGCCACGCCGGGAAGAAAGUAGUGCAAAAAGGCAGCAGCAGUAGGCCUUGCCGAAAAUCAAACGAAACUAACGAAAAUGCAACCAAUUCAAGUGCGAGCGUCCUGUUUGGCGUUGCUUGCUUUGAUCGGCGGAGCAGCCUGGGGCUACGAGAACGGGGGGCGAGCCUUCCGACCGUCGGGGUUGGAGAACAGCAAUAACCGGAUGGUGCGGCCGCUGACCAACGAAAAGAACCGGUACAGCGUCAUCAGCAAGGACGUCAAACGGGAGGUGGACGCAGGAGAUGGGUGCUGCCGGGCGGACGAUCUUCCCCUGGAUCUGGCCCUGCAGCUGGGCAACCUCACCGCAGCCGAGGACAUUUUCGACUUUAUCGAUCCGGACUCGAUCGACCAGCGCAUCUUCGCCAGCAAGGACUUUGGCGAACGCUCCGGCGCGAAUAUUCCGAAGCCGGCCGGGUGCAGCACCACGGACACCAUCGUUCCGCUGCGCCCGAAGGAGGUUACGGAUCCGACGCUGAUCUACUCGCCGGAGUGCACUCGGGUCAAGCGGUGCAGCGGAUGUUGCGUGUCGUCGCGGCUCGCCUGUCUGCCGACCGCAACGCGAACGAUUCCGUUCACGGUGACGGUGCUCGAGUACAAGACGGGAACGAAGCUAAAGUUCAAGAAUCGUGACGUGACGCUCGUCGAGGAGCACGUCAGCUGCCAGUGCCAGUGUCGCGUCCGCGAGGAGCACUGCAACCAUCUGCAGCGGUACAACGCGCCCAACUGCCGCUGCGAGUGUACCAACCCGGACGACCGGACCCGGUGCCUGCAGGAGAGCGACAUUAAGCAGUGGAACCCGGACACGUGCCUUUGCGAGUGCAACGAGGUCAAGGAAUGCACGACGGGGACGUACUUUGAUCGGAAUUACUGCCGAUGUUUGAAGAACGAUUUUUACUCCAUACAUUAACUCCAUUCGAUGCACGCCUCAAAACAAACAAUCGCACUAUUUUUUAUAUUCGAAACUAGUACAUCACAACGAACAAAAUCCACUUAAUUUGAAUCGUCCUUAUUCUAUCCAGUGUUUGUAGAAUGAGCCAAAAUUAAACACUCAAUUUUAUGUUUGAAAUAAAUUGUGUAGAAGAAACAAGUACUAGUAUUUUAAGAAAAGAGAAGAAGAAGAAUCACUGGAUGCAUAUUAAUCGUACUAUAUCUUAGAAAAUAGAGUAGAACAAAAUAAAACCAAAAGCAUCUCAAUUUUAAAAAAUGCAUUACAUAACGAAAGUGCCAAAAUGGAACGAAAACUACUAUUAGAGACUGGACUGUAGCGCUGCGAAGCGUUUAGAUGUAUUAGUUUACUGUACGUGUGCGUGUACGUGUGUGUGUCCUUGUGACCCCGAACUUCUUCCCACCAGAAAAAAAAAACCGCAAAUCUCGGUGGUUUAUCACUCUAGCUACCCACCCCGAGGCAACUUCCAGACCACGCCGCUUGAUCGCAGACGACUGAUCCUGAAACCGGUGCCGGCGGCCGUGUCCCCUUGAGGGAAACCCGAAAUCACAUCACACACGGAUAUAAGCGGCGGCGCGACCAGUGUUCUGCCCGGCUCCAACUUGCGAAGCAAUUUAAAUACGAAAAGUAAUCGAACACGAAUCAUUGCGCGAAAGAGAGCACAAUAUUUUUCUUUUUUGUUGGGACAUUUUCAACAAGUACAAAUAUCGUGCAAGAGAGAGCAGUUAAAGAGGACAUUCCGGGGUGCGGAUAUGAGUGCAAAAAAGCGGCGGAGUUUUAUUCGGGAGGAGAAAUCAUGCAGAGCGAACGAAGUUUGGUUGAAGAAAAGGUGGUGGAUGAGUUCACAGCGGAGCGAAAAAGAUGGAUGAGUGAGAGGGCGAGUGGAGGUUUUUUUUUUAAUAGUUGAACAAGUAUUUCUGCAGAUGUUGCGGUCAGUGAAUGUUUUUAAAACUCUAUUUAUUUCUUCACCGUAGCUAUAAAGAUUUCAAUAAAAUUGUAUUAAACGGAAA